GGCCGUGUGCAGCAGGCAGGUGGUGCCGUGUGCAGCAGGCAGGGGGGCGUGUGCAGCAGGCGGGGGGGGGGCGUGUGCAGCAGGCAGGUGGUGCCGUGUGCAGCAGGCGGGGGGGCGUGUGCAGCAGGCAGGUGGGCCGUGUGCAGCAGGCAGGGGGGGCUCUAGCCAUCUAUCCAUGCGCACAUCCACCUAUACCCUCACAUGAACAAACCAUGAUUCCAUGCACCCACCCAUCCAUCCUAACACCCACCCAUCCACCCAUCUACCCACCCAUCGAUCCAUCCUACCAUCCACCCCCCAGCCACACACACACAUACACACGAACACAUGUCCGUCCAUCCACCCACCCACACACACGCGCGUGCACACACACACACAUGCACACACGCGUGUGCACACACAAAUCCAUCCAUUCAGCCGGCAUCACACACUGCCUGCAUCUCCGCCUUCAUCCUGGCGUACACCGUGUCUGUACCUGUCCAUCUUCUGUCCUUCCAGCUGUCCAUCAUGUCCCCCUCAGCCAUCUGCCCACGCACUGUCCAUCACCCAGUGCCCGUUUGUCCACUCGCACCCUCAGGUUCACCACCCGCAUCAUCGAGCCUCCUGCAUGCGUCCACCCACCUGUCCUCCCACCCGUCCAUCACCCGCGAUCCCCCAUCCGCUGGAUGACCAGUGAUGGACUCCUAGGCACCGGGCGAGGUGGCGGGAUGGAAGAGAUGAAUGAGGAGUGGUCUCUGCUCUCUGAGACCCCUUUUCCCAUUACCCAGCAAAUUAAAUCCGAACACGGAAGCUCUGUGCAGGGCCUCCCUCUCCCUGCACGGCCCCCCUCUCACAGCGACCCCACUGCACUGCCCACCGCGGAGCUGGGCCACGCCUGUCGCCCCUCCCUGGGGCAGGGUCCUCCGUGUGGGGCGCCCUUUUGCCCCUUCAUCUCUGCCUGUGUGCCAGGGCCCUGCUGUACGGUCUCCCCCUCCAGGAAGGCUUCCCUGAUUCCCGAGGUAAGAGGAGCUGAUGCAGGCCGUUGUCAUCCACACCCCACGUAGAAAACCCAGCUCUUCACAAGCUGCCUGGGGCGGGCUCCCUGCACCCAGCACCCAGCACCGGGGCAGCAGCAGCAUCCCCAGGGCUCUGAUGCUGACGGGGAGCCAGCGAGACGAGCUCAGAGCCCUGCACACCCCCACCCCCCACCCCAGGCUCAGCU
rnacentral:lncRNA from 1 species